AUUGAACGCUGGCGGCAGGCCUAACACAUGCAAGUCGAGCGGUAGAGAGGUGCUUGCACCUCUUGAGAGCGGCGGACGGGUGAGUAAUGCCUAGGAAUCUGCCUGGUAGUGGGGGAUAACGUUCGGAAACGGACGCUAAUACCGCAUACGUCCUACGGGAGAAAGCAGGGGACCUUCGGGCCUCGCGCUAUCAGAUGAGCCUAGGUCGGAUUAGCUAGUUGGCGAGGUAAUGGCUCACCAAGGCGACGAUCCGUAACUGGUCUGAGAGGAUGAUCAGUCACACUGGAACUGAGACACGGUCCAGACUCCUACGGGAGGCAGCAGUGGGGAAUAUUGGACAAUGGGCGAAAGCCUGAUCCAGCCAUGCCGCGUGUGUGAAGAAGGUCUUCGGAUUGUAAAGCACUUUAAGUUGGGAGGAAGGGUACUUACCUAAUACGUGAGUAUUUUGACGUUACCGACAGAAUAAGCACCGGCUAACUCUGUGCCAGCCGCCGCAGUAAUAC
rnacentral:rRNA from 1 species